AGAGCGAACGCUGGCGGCAGGCCUAAUACAUGCAAGUCGAGCGCACCUUCGGGUGAGCGGCGGACGGGUGAGUAACGCGUGGGAAUAUGCCCUUUGGUACGGAACAACUGAGGGAAACUUCAGCUAAUACCGUAUGUGCCCUUCGGGGGAAAGAUUUAUCGCCAUUGGAGUAGCCCGCGUUGGAUUAGGUAGUUGGUGAGGUAAAGGCUCACCAAGCCUACGAUCCAUAGCUGGUCUGAGAGGAUGAUCAGCCACACUGGGACUGAGACACGGCCCAGACUCCUACGGGAGGCAGCAGUGGGAAUCUUGCACAAUGGGCGAAAGCCUGAUGCAGCGACGCCGCGUGCGGGAUGACGGCCUUCGGGUUGUAAACCGGCUUUCAGCAGGGACGAUUAUGACGGUACCUGCAGAAGAACGCCCCGGCCAACUACGUGCCAGCAGCCGC
rnacentral:rRNA from 1 species